AUUGAACGCUGGCGGCAGGCCUAACACAUGCAAGUCGAACGAGUGGCGGACGGGUGAGUAAUGUCUGGGAAACUGCCUGAUGGAGGGGGAUAACUACUGGAAACGGUAGCUAAUACCGCAUACCAUCAGAUGUGCCCAGAUGGGAUUCGCUAGUUGGUGGGGUAACGGCUCACCAAGGCGACGAUCCCUAGCUGGUCUGAGAGGAUGACCAGCCACACUGGAACUGUGACACGGACCAGACUCCUACGAGAUGCAGCAGGGGGGAAUAGUGCAAAAUGGGCGCAAGCCUGAUGCAGUAAUGCCGCGUGUAUGAAGAAGGCCUUCGGGUUGUAAAGUACUUUCGGCGGGGAGGCGUUACCCGCAGAAGAAGCAGCGGCUAACGCCGUGCCAGCAGCCGAGGUAAUAC
rnacentral:rRNA from 1 species